GCCUUGAGUCUUUAAUAACUAUGACACCUUGGUUAAUGGUUACCACUGAAAUAUUGAAGCAUGUGGUUACCCAUGUGAAAUCAAGACCAUGUGAAAUCAAGUGGUUGUGCACAUACGUAAAAGCCUCUGGCUCAUUUACAAACAUGCAAUAUGACUGUAUGACUGUUUCAGACGAUAUAGAGUAUAGGCAUACAUAAAAUGCUUUAAUUCUUCCACAGACAUGUAAAGAUUAAAUGCAUGUAAGAGCAAAGCAUACUAGCCUCAAAUUUCUGCAUUGGUAGUUAUACAUGCACAAUGUGGAAGUUUAUAUUCGCCAGCUGAUGACUUCUACAUUCAAGAAGUUGACAUUUACUUAGGACAAUCAUUACAUGGUUUCUUGAUGCAAUUAAAUGUCCCUUACUACAGGUAUGAACCUGAUAUG
rnacentral:misc_RNA from 1 species